rnacentral:rRNA from 1 species
UACGUAGGGGGCGAGCGUUGUCCGGAAUGAUUGGGCGUAAAGGGCGCGUAGGCGGCUUGUUAAGUCCGGAGUGAAAGUCCUGCUUUUAAGGUGGGAAUUGCUUUGGAAACUGGCGGGCUGGAGUGCAGGAGAGGUUAGCGGAAUUCCCGGUGUAGCGGUGAAAUGCGUAGAGAUCGGGAGGAACACCAGUGGCGAAGGCGGCUAACUGGACUGUGACUGACGCUGAGGCGCGAAAGUGUGGGGAG